rnacentral:rRNA from 1 species
GAUAAACGCUGGCGGCGCACAUAAGACAUGCAAGUCGAACGGAAGUCGUUAUAUUGAUUUAGAUAAGAACGGAGAACUUGUUCAAAGGGACUUGAAGAAGAUUUAUAACAAUGGCUUUAGUGGCGGACUGGUGAGUAACGCGUGAGCAACCUGCCUAUUAGAGGGGAAUAACAGUGAGAAAUCAUUGCUAAUACCGCAUAAGCUGAUAGAAUCGCAUGAUUUAGUCAGAAAAGGAGAAAUCCGCUAAUAGAUGGGCUCGCGUCUGAUUAGCUAGUUGGUAAGGUAGUGGCUUACCAAGGCAACGAUCAGUAGCCGGACUGAGAGGUUGAACGGCCACAUUGGGACUGAGAUACGGCCCAGACUCC